GCUUUCCUAUUUUGUUGGUUUCUAGGGGAGCCGUAAUGAUUAAUAGGGAUAGUCGGGGGCAUCAGUAUUCAAUUGUCAGAGGUGAAAUUCUUGGAUUUAUUGAAGACUAACUACUGCGAAAGCAUUUGCCAAGGAUGUUUUCAUUAAUCAGUGAACGAAAGUUAAGGGAUCGAAGACGAUCAGAUACCGUCGUAGUCUUAACCAUAAACUAUGCCGACUAGGGAUCGGGCGAUGUUACUAUCUUGACUCGCUCGGCACCUUACGAGAAAUCAAAGUUUUUGGGUUCUGGGGGGAGUAUGGUCGCAAGGCUGAAACUUAAAGAAAUUGACGGAAGGGCACCACCAGGAGUGGAGCCUGCGGCUUAAUUUGACUCAACACGGGGAAACUCACCAGGUCCAGAUACAAGUAGGAUUGACAGAUUGAGAGCUCUUUCUUGAUUUUGUAGUUGGUGGUGCAUGGCCGUUCUUAGUUGGUGGAGUGAUUUGUCUGCUUAAUUGCGAUAACGAACGAGACCUUAACCUGCUAAAUAGCCCGGCUCGCUUUGGCGGGUCGCUGGCUUCUUAGAGGGACUAUCGGCUCAAGCCGAUGGAAGUUUGAGGCAAUAACAGGUCUGUGAUGCCCUUAGAUGUUCUGGGCUGCACGCGCGCUACACUGACAGAGCCAACGAGUUUUUUUCCUUGGCCGGAAGGUCUGGGUAAUCUUGUUAAACUCUGUCGUGCUGGGGAUAGAGCAUUGCAAU
rnacentral:rRNA from 1 species